rnacentral:rRNA from 1 species
GACGAACGCUGGCGGCGUGCUUAACACAUGCAAGUCGAACGAUGAAGCCGGAGCUUGCUCUGGUGAAUUAGUGGCGAACGGGUGAGUAACACGUGAGUAACCUGCCCUUGACUCUGGGAUAACUGCGGGAAACUGUAGCUAAUACCGGAUACGACCCUCGGAGGCAUCUCCUGGGGGUGGAAAGAAUUUCGGUCAAGGAUGGACUCGCGGCCUAUCGGCUAGUUGGUGAGGUAAAGGCUCACCAAGGCGACGACGGGUAGCCGGCCUGAGAGGGUGACCGGCCACACUGGGCCUGAGACACGGCCCAGACUCCUACGGGAGGCAGCAGUGGGGAAUAUUGCACAAUGGGCGCAAGCCUGAUGCAGCAACGCCGCGUGAGGGAUGACGGCCUUCGGGUUGUAAACCUCUUUUAGCAGGGAAGAAGCGAAAGUGACGGUACCUGCAGAAAAAGCACCGGCUAACUACGUGCCAGCCGCCGCAGUAA